CCUACGGGAGGCAGCAGUGGGGAAUAUUGGGCAAUGGAGGAAACUCUGACCCAGCAAUGCCGCGUGAGUGAAGAAGGUCUUCGGAUUGUAAAGUUCUUUCGUCAGGGAAGAAGUCCAUGACGGUCCCUUAUGCCUACGCCACGGCUACCUACGUGCCACCAGCCGCGUUAUUACGUAGGUUGCAAGCGUUAUCCGGUUUUCCUGGGUGUAAAGGGCGUUUAGGCGGGAUUGCAAGUCAGAUGUGAAAACUAUGGGCUCAACCCAUAGCCUGCAGUUGAAACUGUACUUCUUGAGUGCGGGAGAGGCAAGCGGAAUUCCGGGUGUAGCGGUGGAAUGCGGAGAUAUAAGGAGGAACACCAGUGGCGAAGGCGGACUGCUGGAAAGUAACUGACGCUGAGGCGCGAAAGCGUGGGGAGCAAACAGGAUUAGAUACCCCAGUAGUC
rnacentral:rRNA from 1 species